UCAGGCUCGUGUCGUGAGAUGUUGGGUUAAGUCCCGCAACGAGCGCAACCCCUAUUGUCAGUUGCCAGCAUGUAAUGGUGGGCACUCUGGCGAGAACUGCCGUUGACAAAACGGAGGAAGGUGGGGACGACGUCAAAUCAUCAUGCCCCUUAUGUCCUGGGCUACACACGUACUACAAUGGCAACAACAGAGGGCAGCCAGGUCGCGAGGCCGAGCGAAUCCCAAAAUGUUGUCUCAGUUCAGAUUGCAGGCUGCAACUCGCCUGCAUGAAGUCGGAAUUGCUAGUAAUGGCAGGUCAGCAUACUGCCGUGAAUACGUUCCCGGGCCUU
rnacentral:rRNA from 1 species